rnacentral:rRNA from 1 species
CCCUUAGAUGUCCUGGGCCGCACGCGCGCUACACUGAGUGUCUGAGAUACGAGUCUGCCUGGUCCGGCAAGGUCUAGGUAAUCGCUAAAAGACACAUCAUGCUUGGGAUAGAUUAUUGCAAAUAUUAAUCUUGAACGAGGAAUUCCUAGUAAGCGCGAGUCAUCAGCUCGUGCUGAUUACGUCCCUGCCCUUUGUACACACCGCCCGUCGCUCCUACCGAUUGAGUGUUCCGGUGAAUAAUUCGGACUGCGGCUGAUUGGGGACUCUUCAGUCGGCUGUGGAAAGUCUAGUGAACCUUAACACUUAGAGGAAGGAGAAGUCGUAACA